rnacentral:rRNA from 1 species
AAGAAGGCCUUCGGGUUGUAAAGCUCUUUCGCAAGGGAAGAAAAGAUAUAGGUGAAUAGCUUAUGUUGAUGACGGUACCUUGACAAGAAGCACCGGCUAACUACGUGCCAGCAGCCGCGGUAAUACGUAGGGUGCGAGCGUUGUCCGGAAUUAUUGGGCGUAAAGGGCUCGUAGGCGGUUUGUCGCGUCGGGCGUGAAAUCCACCAGCUUAACUGGUGGUCUGCGUUCGAUACGGGCAGACUAGAGGUAUGCAGGGGAGAACGGAAUUCCUGGUGUAGCGGUGAAAUGCGCAGAUAUCAGGAGGAACACCGGUGGCGAAGGCGGUUCUCUGGGCAUUACCUGACGCUGAGGAGCGAAAGUGUGGGGAGC